rnacentral:rRNA from 1 species
GUCGAGAGGCUUUGGCAAUGGGGGAAACCCUGACCAAGCGACGCCGCGUGGGUGAUGAAGGCCUUCGGGUCGUAAAGCCCUGUCAUGCGGGGAGAAACGCUGAUGUUCGAAUAGGGCAUCAGUUUGACGGUACCGCAAGAGGAAGCUCCGGCUAACUCCGUGCCAGCAGCCGCGGUAAUACGGGGGGAGCGAGCGUUGUUCGGAAUUACUGGGCGUAAAGGGCGUGUAGGCGGCCAAACAUGUGGGGCGUGAAAUACUCUGGCUCAACCAGAGAACUGCGUUCCAAACGGUUUGGCUUGAGUACAGGAGAGGAGAUUAGAAUUCCCGGUGUAGCGGUGAAAUGCGUAGAUAUCGGGAGGAAUACCAGUGGCGAAGGCGGAUCUCUGGCCUGAUACUGACGCUGAGGCGCGAAAGCUAGGGGAGCGAACGGGAUUAGAAACCCUUGUAGUCC